rnacentral:rRNA from 1 species
UACGUAGGGUGCGAGCGUUGUCCGGAAUUAUUGGGCGUAAAGGGCUCGUCGGCGGUCUGUUGCGUCAGGAGUGAAAACUCGGGGCUUAACCCCGAGCCUGCUUCUGAUACGGGCAGACUAGAGGUAUGCAGGGGAGAACGGAAUUCCUGGUGUAGCGGUGAAAUGCGCAGAUAUCAGGAGGAACACCGGUGGCGAAGGCGGUUCUCUGGGCAUUACCUGACGCUGAGGAGCGAAAGUGUGGGGAGCGAACAGG